rnacentral:lncRNA from 1 species
CCUGGUUUUCUACUGAAGGAGAGACUAAGUAAGGGAAAGGAGACAGGCCAGGUGUGUUACCCACCUGGAAAUCCUCCCAACAGAAAGUUAGGUAAAAAAUCUGGAAGUUCCCUUGGUUGCAUUUCAGCUUUAUGUUUGCCUAAACUUCGGUUCAUAUGCACUGGCUGUGUGGGGCUCUCAGAAGAGGUAGGCAACGUUCUACAAAGACAGCCCAUUUCCCUUUCAGGAGUCCAUCCGCUAACUACGCAUAACCGCUGUUUUGAGAUUCCUUCUGCUCCCCGGAAAUACUCAGCCUUUGCCAUCACAGAACACUGGAAUGGGUCGAUCUCACACAUGAAGCAAACACUGUGCUAUUUCUUGGGACGGUCAAUCCCCUAGAAAUGAUUAACUUGACUGAGAUGGGAAGACAAAAAAUCCAGGAAACACCUGGCAAGUUGUGACACAAUGCAGAAUGUUUUCUUCCUCAAGAAUUUAUUUUUAUUACCUUAUCUCUGUAUCUUUCUUCCCUAUGAAAUUUAAACACACACACACGUACACAAGGGGGCUACAGAAAGUGAAUGUAAAAUGUGUAUUAUGAAUAAAAAGUACGGAUUUCAAAGUUUUUGCA